AGAGUCGGCUGAGCAGUCGCCGUUUUAUUGUAAUGAUAGAAGGGAGGAAAGUCCGGGCUUCAUUGGGCAGGGUGCUAGGUAAUGCCUAGGAGGCGUGAGCCUACGACAAGUGCCACAGAAAAUAUACCGCCUAUCGUAAGACAGGUAAGGGUGAAAUGGUGCGGUAAGAGCGCACCGCGCAACUGGUAACAGGUGUGGCAGGGUAAACUCCACUCGAAGCAAGAUCAAAUAGAGAAGCAGACGCGUGGCCCGCGCGGCUUCUGGGUAGAUUGCUUGAGCGUUCAGGUGACUGAACGCCUAGAUGAAUGGCUGCUCUCGACAGAACCCGGCUUAUAGGCUGACUCUUUCU
rnacentral:RNase_P_RNA from 1 species